AGUCGCUGUAGUCCCCGGCAGAUAUCUUCAUUUGGGGAGCGAAGGCAAGUCCGUGGUUCAAAUCACGAGCAUCUCC
rnacentral:tRNA from 1 species